rnacentral:lncRNA from 1 species
UUCAUAAUAUGCAGCCAAGCAUCACUCAAAGUCUGCGAGACUUUGAGAAUAAUAAUAAGAAGGGAAUUAGAAGAUAGUUUUAAAUUCGCAUAACGAUUAGAGGAGUUUGAUCACUUAGAACCUGAGGGGUCGCACACCCAAAAAUUACAUAAUGGUGGAAUAAUUAAUAUGAUUAAUUAGCUCUUAAAUGCCAUAAUUGGGCCUCAAAAUGGUUUUGGGAUUAAUCCAGGCAAUCGAGCUCACUUGGAGGUAAGGCCCAAAAGGCCCCAUGACCGGUUUUGGUGAGAGAGAGUGUGUCCAUGUGAAUUUAUUUUUUUAUUUUUAUGUUUUUUAGAGUAAAUUGUAACAAUGAUCUCUCAAUUUAAAUCAAAUUAG